rnacentral:rRNA from 1 species
GACGAACGCUGGCGGCGUGCUUAACACAUGCAAGUCGAGCGGUAAGGCCCUUUCGGGGGUACGACGAGCGGCGAACGGGUGAGUAACACGUGGGUGACCUGCCCUCCAGCUCUGGGAUAAGCCUGGGAAACCGGGUCUAAUACUGGAUAUGACUCCAUGACGCAUGUUGUGGGGUGGAAAGCCUUGUGCGGCUGAGGAUGGGCCCGCGGCCUAUCAGCUUGUUGGUGGGGUGAUGGCCUACCAAGGCGACGACGGGUAGCCGGCCUGAGAGGCGACCGGCCACACUGGGACUGAGACACGGCCCAGACUCCUACGGGAGGCAGCAGU